rnacentral:rRNA from 1 species
AAUCUUGCGCAAUGGGCGAAAGCCUGACGCAGCGACGUCGCGUGAACGAUGAAGUCUUUCGGGAUGUAAAGUUCUUUUCUGAGGGAAGAAGGAUGUGACGGUACCUCAGGAAUAAGCCCCGGCUAACUACGUGCCAGCAGCCGCGGUAAUACGUAGGGGGCGAGCGUUGUCCGAAUUUACUGGGCGUAAAAGCGCGCGUAGGCGGACUCUUAAGUUGGUGGUGAAAUGCCGAGGCUCAACCACGGAACUGCCUUCAAAACUGGGAGUCUAGAGGCUUGGAGAGGGAAGUGGAAUUCCUGGUGUAGCGGUGAAAUGCGUAGAUAUCAGGAGGAACACCGAUGGCGAAGGCAGCUUCCUGGCCAUGUCCUGACGCUGAGGUGCGAAAGCUAGGGUAGCGAACGGGAUUAGAUACCCCGGUAGUCCUAGCCGUAAACGAUGGAUACUAGGUGUUAGAGGUAUCGACCCCUCUAGUGCCGAAGCAAACGCAUUAAGUAUCCCGCCUGGGGAGUACGGCCGCAAGGUUGAAACUCAAAGGAAUUGACGGGGGCCCGCACAAGCGGUGGAGCAUGUGGUUUAAUACGUCACUAACCGUAGAACCUCACCCAGGCUUGACAUCUGCUGAAAGCGCCUGAAAGGGUGGCCCCGGUAUUUUUAUAUCGCAGCAAGACAGGUGUUGCAUGGCUGUCGUCAGCUCGUGUCGUGAGAUGUUGGGUUAAGUCCCGCAACGAGCGCAACCCUCAUCCGAUGUUGCCAGCGUAAAGUCGGGAACUCUUCGGAAACUGCCCGUGCAAGCGGGAGGAAGGUGGGGAUGACGUCAAGUCAGCAUGGCCCUUACGCCUGGGGCUACACACAUGCUACAAUGGAUGUAAACAAUGGGCAGCAAGACCGCGAGGUGGAGCAAAUCUCAAAAAUACAUCCUCAGUUCGGAUUGCAGUCUGCAACUCGACUGCAUGAAGUCGGAAUCGCUAGUAACCGCAGGUCAGCUAAACUGCGGUGAAUACGUUCCCGGGCCUUGUACACACCGCCCGUCACGCCACCUGAGUUGUCUGCACCCGAAGUCGAUGGCCCAACCGCAAGGGGGGAGUCGCCGAAGGUGUGGGGAGCG